GAUGAACGCUGGCGGCGUGCCUAAUACAUGCAAGUCGAGCGAACAGACGAGGAGCUUGCUCCUCUGACGUUAGCGGUGGACGGGUGAGUAACACGUGGAUAACCUACCUAUAAGACUGGGAUAACUUCGGGAAACCGGAGCUAAUACCGGAUAACAUGUUGAACCGCAUGGUUCAACAGUGAAAGACGGUCUUGCUGUCACUUAUAGAUGGAUCCGCGCCGCAUUAGCUAGUUGGUAAGGUAACGGCUUACCAAGGCAGCGAGGCGUAGCCGACCUGAGAGGGGGAUCGGCCACACUGGAACUGAGACACGGUCCAGACUCCUACGGGAGGCAGCAGUAGGGAAUCUUCCGCAAUGGGCGAAAGCCUGACGGGGCAACGCCGCGUGAGUGAAGAAGGUCUUCGGAUCGUAAAACUCUGUUAUUAGGGAAGAACAAAUGUGUAAGUAACUAUGCACGUCUUGACGGUACCUAAUCAGAAAGCCACGGCUAACUACGUGCCAGCCGCCGCCGUAA
rnacentral:rRNA from 1 species